UAGGUUCACAUAUCAAGAUAUCAUCCA
rnacentral:piRNA from 1 species